UGUGAGCAUAUAAAGUGUAUUUUAAAUCCCAACUGAGAGCACAAUGUAAACAGCUUUUCUAAACAGUGCUAUCCCACUCAAUUUACAUUUAGUAAAGGCACAAAACCAAUAAAAUGCUAAUAAAGUAUAAAUAUCUUAAUGUAGUAUAGAUAUCUGACAACUGUUUUAACUUUUUUCUCUUUUGUUCUCCUUAUUUAUGAAUUUAAGAAAAUGGCCAUGUGAACCAAUUUUAGCCCAAGAAAAUUGACCAGAGUGUUAGACAAUUUUCUGAGCGUAUCAACAGAGAUAUAUUUUUGGACAUACAGAAAGAUAAACCCUUGAGAUUUAACAUGAAAUCAUGCUUGUGAACACAAAACCAAAAUUUUUAAUGUGCUAAGCCACUUUUCCUGUCCUGUGUUAUCAUCAAUAGGUGUUCUAUAGAAAAAGGA
rnacentral:lncRNA from 1 species